AUUGAACGCUGGCGGCAGGCUUAACACAUGCAAGUCGAGCGGGGGAAGGUAGCUUGCUACCGGACCUAGCGGCGGACGGGUGAGUAAUGCUUAGGAAUCUGCCUAUUAGUGGGGGACAACAUCUCGAAAGGGAUGCUAAUACCGCAUACGUCCUACGGGAGAAAGCAGGGGAUCUUCGGACCUUGCGCUAAUAGAUGAGCCUAAGUCGGAUUAGCUAGUUGGUGGGGUAAAGGCCUACCAAGGCGACGAGCUGUAGCGGGUCUGAGAGGAUGAUACGCCAAACUGGGACUGAGGCACGGCCCAGACUCCUACGGGAGGCAGCAGUGGGGAAUAUUGGACAAUGGGGGGAACCCUGAUCCAGCCAUGCCGCGUGUGUGAAGAAGGCCUUAUGGUUGUAAAGCACUUUAAGCGAGGAGGAGGCUACUCUAGUUAAUACCUAGGGAUAGUGGACGUUACUCGCAGAAUAAGCACCGGCUAACUCUGUGCCAGCAGCCGCCGUAACAC
rnacentral:rRNA from 1 species